AACGUACGCUGGCGGCACGCCUAACACAUGCAAGUCGAACGAAGUAGCAAUACUUAGUGGCAGACGGGUGAGUAACAUGUGGGUAUCUGCCCUUUGGCCUGGAAUAACACGAGGAAACUUGUGCUAAUACCGGAUAAGUCUUUACGGAGAAAGCUUUAUGCACCAUUGGAUGAGCCCGCACUUGAUUAGUUUGUUGGUAGGGUAAUGGCCUACCAAGACUGUGAUCAAUAGCUGAUUUGAGAGGAUGAUCAGCCACAUUGGGACUGAGACACGGCCCAAACUCCUACGGGAGGCAGCAGUGGGGAAUCUUGCACAAUGGAGGAAACUCUGAUGCAGCGAUGCCGCGUGAGUGAAGAAGGCCCUUGGGUUGUAAAGCUCUUUCGUCGGGGAAGAAAAUGACUGUACCCGAAUAAGAAGGUCCGGCUAACUUCGUGCCAGCAGCCGCGGUAAUACGAAGGGACCUAGCGUAGUUCGGAAUUACUGGGCUUAAAGAGUUCGUAGGUGGUUGAAAAAGUUAGUGGUGAAAGCCCAGAGCUUAACUCUGGAACUGCCAUUAAAACUUUUCAGCUAGAGUAUGAUAGAGGAAAGCAGAAUUUCUAGUGUAGAGGUGAAAUUCGUAGAUAUUAGAAAGAAUACCAAUUGCGAAGGCAGCUUUCUGGAUCAUUACUGACACUGAGGAACGAAAGCAUGGGUAGCGAAGAGGAUUAGAUACCCUCGUAGUCCAUGCCGUAAACGAUGUGUGUUAGACGUUGGAAAUUUAUUUUCAGUGUCGCAGGGAAACCGAUAAACACACCGCCUGGGGAGUACGACCGCAAGGUUAAAACUCAAAUGAAUUGACGGGGACCCGCACAAGUAGUGGAGCAUGUGGUUUAAUUCGAAGAUACGCGCAGAACCUUACCAACACUUGACAUGUUCGUCGCGACUCUAAGAGAUUAGAGUUUUCGGUUCGGCCGGACGAAACACAGGUGCUGCAUGGCUGUCGUCAGCUCGUGUCGUGAGAUGUUGGGUUAAGUCCCGCAACGAGCGCAACCCUCACUUUUAGUUGCCAUCAUUAAGUUGGGCACUCUGAAAGAACUGCCAGUGAUAAGCUGGAGGAAGGUGGGGAUGACGUCAAGUCCUCAUGGCCCUUACGUGUUGGGCUACACACGUGCUACAAUGGUAUCUACAACAGGAAGCAAGACUGCGAAGUUAAGCAAAUCCCUAAAAGAUACCUCAGUUCGGAUUGCACUCUGCAACUCGAGUGCAUGAAGCUGGAAUUACUAGUAAUCGUGGAUCAGCGUGCCACGGUGAAUGCGUUCCCGGGUCU
rnacentral:rRNA from 1 species